rnacentral:rRNA from 1 species
GACGAACGCUGGCGGCGUGCUUAACACAUGCAAGUCGAACGGUGAAGCCCUUCGGGGUGGAUCAGUGGCGAACGGGUGAGUAACACGUGAGCAACCUGCCCCUGGCUCUGGGACAACCACUGGAAACGGUGGCUAAUACCGGAUACGACCCGCCUCGGCAUCGAGUGUGGGUGGAAAGUUUUUCGGCUGGGGAUGGGCUCGCGGCCUAUCAGCUUGUUGGUGAGGUGAAGGCUCACCAAGGCGACGACGGGUAGCCGGCCUGAGAGGGCGACCGGCCACACUGGGACUGAGACACGGCCCAGACUCCUACGGGAGGCAGCAGUGGGGAAUAUUGCACAAUGGGCGAAAGCCUGAUGCAGCGACGCCGCGUGAGGGAUGACGGCCUUCGGGUUGUAAACCUCUUUCAGCUCCGAAGAAGCGAAAGUGACGGAAGGAGCAGAAGAAACACCGGCUAACUACGG